rnacentral:rRNA from 1 species
UACCAGCCGCCGCGGUAAUACGGAGGGUGCAAGCGUUGUUCGGAAUCAUUGGGCGUAAAGCGCGUGUAGGCGGCUUGGCAAGUCGGCUGUGAAAUCCCGGGGCCCAACCCCGGAACUGCAAUCGAAACUGCCUCGCUAGAGUCCCGGAGAGGAAGGCAGAAUUCCCGGUGUAGAGGUGAAAUUCGUAGAUAUCGGGAGGAACACCAGUGGCGAAGGCGGCCACCUGGACGGUGACUGACGCUCAGACUCGAAAGCGUGGGGAGCGAACAGGAUUAGAUA